CGGUCCUUCCUCCUGCGCGAACCACCCGGCCCCGGGGCGUGAGACGCGUCUCUCUGGCCCCAGAUCCAUGGAGUCGUCUCGCUCCAGACGGACGGAGCCGACCCUCUCCUCCACCUGAGAAGGAAAAGGGCUGCAGAGCCACCAAAAUGCCUUGACCUGGGCGGCUGACAGAUGAAGGAGUACAUUUGGGAGACUCCAGACUCCAGUAACUAGAGGACCUGAAUCAACUGUCAGUUGAAUUCAUACAACAGAUAUGGAUACAGAACCCAUGGAUACUACUGGAGCCCACCAAACUGUACUUUUAAGUGGUGAAAUUUAUGGUAUGUAAGUUAUAUCUCAGCAGAGGGAAAAAGGGGACACCAUUCUUCUUAGUGGCCCAAAAUAAAUGGCAUGAACCCAGCAGGUUUCUGAAAGCCCCAGCACUUUUUUUUUUUUUUGGCCCCAGCACUCUUGAUAAAUACUAACUCCCCUGACUCAGAAGAUUCCUUGGUGGUUCAGUGGUUAAGACUUAGUGUUCCACUGCAGGGGCUGUGGGUUCGAUACCUGGUUGGGGAACUGUGAUCCCGUAUGCCACAGGAAACAAUAAAAAUAAAUAAAUAAAUUGGGCCAAGAUACAAAAAAAAUCUAAUCCUGGUGUAGGUAACACAAGGGAGUCAGGCAUCCUGUGGCUGUUCUGCCUGGCCCUGGCAGGUACUGACAAGUCCAAAGUAGCCUGUCUUUUAUGCCCUCGAAGACAGGACUGUGGUGACACGGGGUCUGAGACUGGACCCUGCAAGAGAAAGGGGGCUUGGUGGUGGGGAGGACUUGCCUAUUGCAACCCUGCAUCUGUGAGUGACAGAUGUUGCUGCCAUAUUGGUGAACAAGGAUGCUGCAAUCAUCAAGCCAUCACAUGACAGCCACCUGGACCAUAAGCCCUGAGGGAACUCAGGAUGGAGGCAGGAAGCACCCCCUCCCCAGCUAGAAGUCAACCGCUGCAGCCACCACCUGGGAGCACCCUGAGGAGACUCGGGAUGAGAAAACACGGGAUUCUGGCCCCAGAGAGCUGAGGGCAUACCAAGGAAUGACGUCAGCAAGCCCAGACUUUUGCAUCUUUCCCAUGCAUAGCAAAGCACUAAAUUCCUUAACUUGAGAUGGCUGGGGUUCUUUAACAGUAAGGUGGCUCAGUAGUAAAGAAUCCGCCUGCCAGUGCAUGAGACGAGGGUUUGAUCCCUGAGUUGGGAAGAUCCCUGGAGGAAGGCAUGGCAACCUACUCCAGUAUUCUUGCCUGGGGAAUUCCAUGGACAGAGGAGCCUGGUGGGCUAUAGUCCAUGGGGUCGCAAAAGAGUUGGACACGACUGAACAACUCAACAACAACAAUAGCAGCAAUAUUUUGAUGUCUGACUUCUUGGUCUUUGUUGCAGAAACUCAUGUGUAUCCUAGCUCCUCGCUUGCCUCUUUGGAGCAGUCCUGCAGGACUAUCUGAGAGGUUAUGUUCUGGGCCUAAGUUCUUAGGCCCAGCCAAAUAAAACAUAACUCUCAGCUCUGA